GUCGCUUCUCAGCCUUUUGGCUAAGAUCAAGUGUAGUAUCUGUUCUUAUCAGUUUAAAAAAUCAGAAACAUGACUAUUAAGACAUCAACAAUGUUCACACCUAUCAGAUUGAUAAUAAUUAAAAGAAAUAGACAACCUUA
rnacentral:snRNA from 1 species